rnacentral:lncRNA from 1 species
GAUUAUUUUGGAGAUAAUUUCAAGGGGGAUUUCAUCAAGCAUCAAAGGUGCGUUGUUUCUACUUAUUUUCAAGUUAAAUACAUGGAUUAGAGCUGAAAACUCAAUUAAUUUAUGGACAAAAAUGGUGGUUUAGGGCUUGAAACUUAAGAGAAUUAAAUGGUGAUUUGAGGGGUCAAAUGAACUCCGAUUUUUGUGAAUUUGGUAUGUAUAGACUCGUGGAGAGAUAAGGGUCGUAUUGAUGUAAAAAUUUCUGAAUUUCGAGAUGUGGGCCCGGGGCUCGGGUUUUGCUAAUUUCGGGAUUUUCGACAUUUUUCGAGUCUUUUCGAUUGGGUUAUAUUCCUAUAGCCUAUUGUAACGUAUUCGUUGUGGUUUUGACUAGAUUCGACGCGCGAAGAGGUCGAUUGAAGAGGAAAGGGCAUUGCGAACUAGUCUACGACCGGUUAGAGGUGAGUAAUAUAUGUAAAUGCUGUUCUGAGGGUUUGAAACCACGGACUUUCACAUCGUCACGCUAUAUUGAGGCGUGACAUGCACUCCAUGGCGAGUGCGGGGUCAGAUACUAUUGGGGAUUGUGACUUGGUCCAUCCCGUGUGAUGUUUAUACUAUACUGGUGAUUGAUACACAUACUUCAUUGAUAUUACUGGGCUUGAUGCCAUGUUUGGGGCCUUGUGCCGAUUUGUAAAAUCCUUCGAGGAUUGAUAUUACUGCUUAGCAUGAUUUGCAUAUCAUUUAAUUUCAGUCCAAGGUUUUAAAUGCUGUUUUGCAAACUCAACCAUAAUUCUAAGUGUUGAAAACUUAAAUGAUAUUUUUAAAUGUAUUCCGGGC